UCCCGCGUGGGAGCCCCGGCGGCGGCCUGCGUUCAGUUGGGUUCCGACGACAGCCUCAGGCGUGCCUCCGAUGCCCACGCAGCGCCUCUCCCGUGGCCGUUGGAUCCAGAUUCUGCGGAACCCAGAAAUCUCUACUCAGAUGAAGGUCUUCUCCGUAAAAACCAGCCAGUGAAUUCCAGACAUUCGUAUCCUCCUUUGCACGCGUCUCCGCGCCUCGGACGCCGUCCUGCUCCUGCUCCUGCUCCGGGCAGAGGAACAAAGGGGAGCAGCUGAGGUUCUCUCUGGGCUGGUCCCCAGGAGCUGCCGGCGGAAUGGGUCCGCGGGGGCGCGAGGACUGACAGAAUGCCUGAUUAUAAGGACGUGUGGGGACCAGGAGCGACGUGAUUAUUUAUGCUGCUCUCGCCCGCGGUCUCCACCAGAAGGGGGGUCUGAGGCAGCUGGGGCCCCAGGGCCCUUGUUGGCAGGGCUCUGGGCUGCUUCUAAGCCUUCGGACCGUCCAGACCGAGGCCCAGCAGUCACCUCAUUUCAGGUGUUUAGGGAAGGAUGCGCCGUCCCCCAGUGGGGUGUCCCCCCAGCCGGUAUCAUCCCAAAGCUGUUCCCUUAUUGGGGGGGGGGGCCGGGGACCCCUCCGAGCACCAGCCCGGCUCCAGUCAACCCUGGGAGGUCACGGAGCAGCCCAGACCCCCACCCUUUGCAGGACCGUUUCCCUCCCGUGGAGGGGCUGCUGGGGAGGGGGCUGUGUUCCAACUCGCCCCUUCCCCGGGGGUUGGGGGGCUCUGGAGGGAAGCGGGGUUGGGCUAAUGGACUCACUCCUGCGUCUCUCCUGGGAAGGGGCUUGUAUCUGUGCUGUUUGUCGGGACCCCAGACACGGCCCCAAAAUUGCACCGUGAGUGAGUGAGCUUCCCGGGGCCCCGUCUCCACCUUCUCACGCACCUGGAGACACUGCGAAUUCGAUGCUGGCCCUCUAACAGCAGAGUCCAGAGCCUCCCGCCCAUGACCUUGCCUGCUUGCAGUGUCCCCGACGAACACGAGCCCUUCCGGGGCUUUCUGCAGGGCUGCGGAUGUGAGGGUCGAUCCUCCUCCUCCACCCCUCCCCUCCCCUCCCCUCCCCUGC